AGUUUACCCUAGAACAUAGACAACUGAGCUUGAAGCAAAAACAUUGAAACAUAAAGGACCAGCUAGCAAAUAACAAAAGUUAAAAACCUAAGUAAAGAUAUUAAAUAGACUUCAGAUCGGAUCUGUGCUGGGUGCUCAAAGAUAUGAUAGCGACAAAGCAAAGCAAAGCGGAGCCGGAAAAAGAAGAAACCAGAGAAGAGGGGAAAGGGAAAUUGAGCUACUGGAAAUUACAGGAAUGGGGUCUUUGGGAUGAACCAUUCGAAAGCUUUUCAUCGUUUUAGUCAUAAAUUGAAGUUCUUCCCGAGGCCACCCAUUCCAGUGAUUUCCAGAGGCUUAUCCCUUUCUCUUACAUCUUCCUUGCUUUGUUUAUAUAUGGAAACGGAAGAAAGCUAGCUGCUUCUGCUUGUAUUGUGAGGGAUCGCACAUUAUAUGGGAAAUUUGAGCAGGAAAACUGCAGAAUCUAGUCAAUCUUGGAUUUUGGACGAGAAUGAUCAAUUAAUGAUGUUCACUCAUUUCACUUACACAUUUGAAUUAUGUUUAUGUUCAUAAAUUAUGCUUACAGAAGUUGAUGCGAAUAUAGCAAAGGAGAGGGUAAAAAAGGGAUUAUAGGCGUAA